rnacentral:rRNA from 1 species
CCCCUAGAUGUUCUGGGCCGCACGCGCGCUACACUGAACAGUUCAACAAGUCUUAACCUUGGCCGAUAGGUCUGGGUAAUCUUUGAACGCUGUUCGUGAUGGGGAUAGACCUUUGCAAUUAUGGGUCUUCAACGAGGAAUUCCUAGUAAACGCAAGUCAUCAGCUUGCAUUGAUUACGUCCCUGCCCUUUGUACACACCGCCCGUCGCACCUACCGAUUGAAUGGUCCGGUGAAAUCUCGGGACGGCGGCUUGGUCGCUUGCGUCCGACUGCUGAAACUUGAUUAAACCAUAUCAUUUAGAGGAAGGUGAANUCGUAACA